UUUGUGAUGUGAGCCCAUUUUUGUCAAGACUAUUGAAUUGAGCCCAAAUAAAUGGUCCAAUAUCAUGACCCGUGAAGAAGAAUCUAGAAGGCUGAUCUUUUAAUUCCAAAACAUGUUUUUGACCAUAAGGAGCGUUUUUUCUUUGGAUCAAUGACAAGUGGCAAAUUGGUGGACGUUGGAUCCUUACCUUUCAUAUAAAUAGGAAGCCUCAGAUUUUUUAGGAUUAACGAUUAGUAUUCUGUGGUUUUUUCUUGGCUGCGUGCCUUUCAUCUUCUCCGUUCUAAUCUUGUGAUUUCUUUGAAAAUACUUAGUGUGAUUUUGGGAGAAUUGGUAGAUAAACUCUUGUGUGAGUUCUACUAUGGGAAGAUUGUGUUGUAUUUGUGAUUUGGGAACUUUGUAUUCUGUAACUUGAUCUUUGCCUAUUUUUGGCCGAUUUAGUGGAUUCGAGCUUAAUCCUUAUGGAUGCUCAACGGGGGACUAAGUGUUAGAAGAGGUCGCUGAACCUCCGGGACUUUUUGGCCGAAAAAUCUCUCGUGUUCUUAUUUUCUGUUCUAUUUUGAGAAAAUUUAGAUUUUUUGUGUUGAGUAUUUUUGAUAUAAAUUCGAUUUUGGAACUACAGUGGUAUCAAAGCUUGAAGUUUGUUUUUUUUUUUUUUUAAAUUCAGUUUUCUCAAAACUUGAUUUCUGAAACUCGAAUCUCAAAGGGGGAUUCGCUCGGCCUAAAGAAAACGAGCAGAUCUGAACAUUCGAAAAUUUUUUCUUGGGUGCUUCUGUCAUUAUUUUUGUAUAUCUUCAAGGAGUUUUUUUUAAUCCUGCAGUAUUUCUUGCUAGUAGUUUUCUUUUAAAAGAAAAAGGAGGUUGGUUCGACUUGAUCUACUCUACAUUUGCCUUUGUCUUAGGUUCCUUAAGAGAACCCUAGAAUUAGAGGAAAUCCAGGGAUUCCUCGAUUCAAGAAACCAGAAUGUCCAAUUUUCUAAAAUUCUCGUUAGUUUAAUACUAUGUGUAUCUUUUAUAACUUGAAUUUAUAUUUCUUUAUAAACUGCUGGAUGAUAUUAACCGUGUGAUUUUUCUAUUAUUAUUAUUAUUAUUAUUAUUAUUAUUAUUAUUAUUAUUAUUAUUAUUUUGAACUUUGUGUUCAAUUAGGAAAUAUUGCUCUUGUGAAGGUAUACCUGUAGAGAACUUUCCUUUCUGAUUACUUAGUGCACAAAAUACAGUAAAGGUGGAGAUUGUAAGUUGUUGGGUUGUUGCAUUUUGUAAUGUGAGCCUAUUUUUGUCAAGACUAUUGAAUUGAUCCCAAAUAAAUGGCCCAAUAUCAUGACCGGUGAAGAAGAAUCUGGAAGGCUGAUCUUUUAACUCCAAAACGUGUUUUUUGACCAUAAGGAGCGUUUUUUCUUUCGAUCAAUGACAAGUGGCAAACUGGUGGACAUCGGAUCCUUACCUUUCAUAUAAAUAGGAAGCCUCAAAUUUUUUAGGGUUAACGAUUAGUAUUCUGUGGUUUUUUCUUGGCUGCGUGCCUUUCAUCUUCUCCGUUCUAAUCUUGUGAUUUCUCUUAAAAUACAAAGUAUGAUUUUGGAAGAAUUGGUAGAGAAACUCUUGUGUGAGUUCUACUGUGGGAAGAUUGUGUUGUAUUUGUGAUUUGGGAACUUUGUGUUUUGUAACUUGAUCUUUGCCUAUUUUUGGUCAAUUUAGUGGACUCGAGCUUAAUCCUUAUGGAUGCUUAACGGGGGACUAAGCGUUAGAAGCGGUCGCUGAAACUUCGAGGCCUUUUGGCCAAAAAAUCUCUCGUGUUCUUAUUUUCUGUUUUAUUUUGAGAAAAUCUUAUUUUUUGCGUUGAGUAUUUUUGGCAUAAAUUUGAUUCUGGAACUACACUAGCCGUGGCAUGCCGGCCCAUGAGAUGGCGUAUCACCAGCCGGACAUUGCUUUUCACAUUUCGGGUCAGGGUGAUUCAACACAUUUUGCAUCUCUAUAAACACGUGGUAUUUUUUAUAUCUAAGAUUAGAUAGAAAACAACAUCAAAGUAGUAAACAACCCUGUUGCUAGUGAUACUAUCUAAUCAUGUUCAGUACUAUGUAUCAAAUAUUCGUCGUUAGUUUAUAUCUCUAUUUUAUCAAA